UCAAUGAAAUAUUCUGGUGGAUAUGGGACAACCUGUAUAUUCACGGUCCACAGAUAAUUAACGUUCUAGGAAUUGCUCCGACGUCGCAGAAUAUAAUUUUUCGUACUUUUAAGGUACUCUAAUUUGUUCAUGUAUAUGGGUAACUCCGAGAAAAAAAAUAUUGAAAUUAAUCUAAUAAUACUUUUUUUCUUGAAUCUACUUUGUUACUAAUAUUGAUCUGAGUGUAUAAAACAUUCCAGUUUAGAAAAACAGAUUUUUUCAAUAUGAAAUCGGCAGCAUCUCAAAUGUUUUUCAGUUCAAAUAUUAGGAUGAAGUACAAUGUUUCAAUGUUUUCUAUUCUUAAUUUUUGAAUCAAGUGUGCAGUUAAAAUUUUUAGAUGAGUUGAGUUAUGUUAUUACGUUAUCAUACUUUUGUGAACAAGAGAAUUGUUAUUAGAAAGUUUUCAUUCAGGACGACAAUCUAACCUCUUUUUGUGGAAUGUUCCUAAGUUACAAAAAACUUACUUCAACGUUAGUAUCAAAUGUCUGUAAUUUUGAAUGAAUAAUCACAUUGUCAUCUAUGAAUAAAGGAUGAAAGUAAAGCAUUGAAACGUCUAUUCCGAAAAAAGGAAAUAAUAACAUGCACCAACUAUAUCUGAAAAAACCGUUUUUAUGGACUAUAACACGCAAGCGCUGGAAAAGUAGGGCUAAUAUUAUUACUGGCCAGUUCUCUUCCUCAUUACAGGGUCAGUACCUUGGUAACCUGUAGGCUAGGUCUGACAAUAUAAUUAUUCGAAAUCAAUUAAAUCGAUUAUAGACGAAUUUACACUUUUGAAUAGAAUUUGACUAAACAUUCUACUUACCUGCAAAAUGUUUUUUAUAUUCGAUUGGUAUGAAUAUACUUUAUUAGUGAUUAAUUUUAACUAGUGAAUGUUAGUGCUAAGAAUAUAAUUCGACAAAAAAUGUUGUCUGCAGAAUGGUUUUCCCUCUCUUGUCAUGAAGGAUGAAUUAAUUUGAGUAAUGAGGAUUUUCUGCACACUAGUUAAUUCUUCAAUCGAUUAUCUCAAGGGCAAAUCGAAUGGAAUAAGUAUCAACAAUUUGUUCUAAUGGCGAAGUUGUUGCAUAUGGAAAUACUCAGCGAUAACUUAAUGAUAAGAUUAUUUGUCAUAUAACCUGUAAUAUGAUUUUCGAAAUUACUUCGAAAGGGAUGAAUUCAAUGGAUCAGUGACUCCACAAAGAGUUAAUGUUUGAAUAGAAGAAGGCUCGUUUUCAUUCUGAAAGUCAAUUGAUACGAAUCAGAUGGAUAUGCAGGUGUUGGUGCACAUGGAAAAGCAGAAGAUGGAUUUGUAAUCAUUUGAGAUCAUUUUAUUUCGCCGAUUACAUUUCAUUGGUGGAUUGGAUUUCCUCAUGUUUCGAUUAUUCUUUGAAGAAACAUCACAUCACCAUCGGGUGGCAAAAUAUAGUACUGGUAGGACAAAACUGUAAUUUAAUUAAUAUUGUUUCUCUAAUUCUGUGGUUAUUCCGUGCAUUCUUCCACA